ACGAAGGGUGCUAGCGUUAUUCGGAAUUAUUGGGCGUAAAGGGCGCGUAGGUGGCAUGUUAAGUUUGCUGUUAAAUCUUCCAGCCUAACUGGAAAACUGCAGCAAAAACUGGCAAGCUAGAGUGUAAGAGAGAGAAGUGGAAUUCUCGGAGUAGCGGUAAAAUGCGUAGAUCUCGAGAGGAACACCGAUGGCGAAGGCAGCUUCUUGGCUUACUACUGACACUGAGGCGCGAAAGCGUGGGGAGCAAACAGG
rnacentral:rRNA from 1 species